UGGGGAAUAUUGGACAAUGGGGGGAACCCUGAUCCAGCCAUGCCGCGUGUGUGAAGAAGGCCUUAUGGUUGUAAAGCACUUUAAGCGAGGAGGAGGCUCUUCUAGUUAAUACCUAGGAUGAGUGGACGUUACUCGCAGAAUAAGCACCGGCUAACUCUGUGCCAGCAGCCGCGGUAAUACAGAGGGUGCGAGCGUUAAUCGGAUUUACUGGGCGUAAAGCGUGCGUAGGCGGCUGAUUAAGUCGGAUGUGAAAUCCCUGAGCUUAACUUAGGAAUUGCAUUCGAUACUGGUCAGCUAGAGUAUGGGAGAGGAUGGUAGAAUUCCAGGUGUAGCGGUGAAAUGCGUAGAGAUCUGGAGGAAUACCGAUGGCGAAGGCAGCCAUCUGGCCUAAUACUGACGCUGAGGUACGAAAGCAUGGGGAGCAAACAGG
rnacentral:rRNA from 1 species